rnacentral:lncRNA from 1 species
GAGGGAGGGAGGGAGAGGGAGAGAGAGACAAGGCGGAAGCAGAGCCUUUGCGGGUAGAGCAGAUAAAGAUUCCCAGACAAAUUUCAUGGGUGAAGUGGCCAAUUUACUUCUUUUAUAGCUGAAUGUCAUUUUUUUUGUGGAUUUUUCCAUCAAGUAGUGAAAACUCACAUAUUAAUAAUAUUCAGAGUCUCCUCUGGCCAUUUAAGCACCCUCUUUGUCCAGAGUCAAGUCAGAUUCUUGGCGGCCCUCCUGGCGCCACGUGUGUGAGGUGGGGGGAGGUUUCUCACCCUUGGCGAUCCUCUCCUCCGCACAGGGGCGUCUGUGGGGGUGUCCGCCAUUUUGUUUGGUCUCAGCUGCCAGUUCCCAGAGGAACCCUCUCUUCUGGCCACACGCCCGCUUGAUGGUCACAGGCCUCCGUCAGCGGCUUCUCCAUCCCUCUCUGGCAAGCUGAAGUACGUGACGACUUCCCUGGCCCUCUAGGGUUCUCAGGCCGUCAGGUACGGGUCUCUGUCAAUCUGGCACCUGACAGCUGAGACAAACGAAAAAGACGCUCCGCUCGCUGAUUCCUGGGCCGCGCGGGGUCACGGGGCGCUGCGGCUUUCCUGGAAUCUCCUCAGGAUUCAGGCACACCCUGUGCUCUCAGGUUCACUAAACCCGUCUGGGGUUUCUACACACGACCUGAAGGCAUCUCCGCCCUUUGGCGGCAGAUAGAGGAAUAGAAACGACUGAGGAGACAUGAAGCAGGGAGGAAAAGCUGGAUGAGAGGAAGCACAGGGAGUGGAAGGCAACGUCCAGGAGACACGGCUCCUGAUGCCCUUUCGUCUCGGUGGGCUCUCUGUGGCGAACCGUUGUCUGCUUGAGAGGAAAAGGGAAGUCAUAUUUGGUGCCAUCCUCUGGACUCCAGAUGUUUUUGUGCCUGGCCAUAAUUAUAUAUAUAUGCGCAUAUAUAUAUAUAUUUGCAUAUAUAUAUAUUUGCAUAUAUAUAUAUAUUUUGUUUGUUUGUUUGUUUUUGGAGACAGAAUCUCACUCUGUGCCCAGGCUGGAGUGAAGUGGCGCGAUCUGGGCUCACUGCAAGCCCCGCCUUCCGGCUUCCCGCCAUUCUCCUGCCUCAGCCUCGCGAGUAGCUGGGACGACAGGCGCCGCCACCAGGCUUAGCUGUCAAAUUAGCUAUUUUUAAGUGAGAGAAGCUGCAGCCUGUUGAGACUCCACAAGACUGAAGAUAUGAAAAGAGGAAAUAUGCAUGAAUGCCCGCACGGAGAACCACCCCCACCUGCUGCUCCCGCUCUAAUGAUCACGCCCAUUAUCAACUGGGGGAUGGCUCUGUGCCUUGUCCUUG